ACACAUGGCUUCAAGGUUAGAAAAUUCCCCCUGUGUACCAUUUUUCCAUAGUUACCAAGUCCACAAAUAACCACCUGCAUUAAGGAAAUUUCUUGAACUGAAAUCUAAGGAAACUGAUGGGAAUGAUGCCUUCACUACAAUUUGGUUUUAGCAUUCAUGAACUACUGGAACAGACCUUACACCCUUCACAAAAAUUAACUCAAAAUGGAUCACAGACAUAAAUGUAAAGUCCAAAAUGAUAAAACUCCUGGAAAAUAACAUAGGAGAAAAUCUAGAUGACCUUGGACAUGGCGACAAGUUUUUAGAUGCAACGCCAAAAGCAUAAUCUGUGGAAGAAAUAACUGGUUUUUGGUGUGGUGACUUUUUACAGAUACUAGAGUUGUAGCCUCUCUUACUUCUGGCAUCUGCCCCCCUUGUGGCUGAAGUUGAUAUGCGGGCUUGCUGUAGGCUUCCUGAUGGGAGGGACUGAUGCCUGCCCACUGCCUCUAGGAAAACCCGUGGCCUUCCCAGCCUGAGAGUAUUCUCCAGAAAUGAAGAUGCAGGGUCAAGUUGCAGAAAGAGCCCUGGAUUAGCAGUCAGGACCCUCAGACCCAGUGAGAAACAAACAUACAAGCUACUUUUCCUUAUGGACAGGAUGGAAAACAGCUUUGAGAACUCCCGGGGGAGGGUUUUCCUUAAAGAGGAUACACAUAAUUUAAGCCACAUGGGACACAUAAGUAAAGGGUGAGUAGCCCAGACCGCCCAGGAAGAGUUGAUAUAAAGAGGCCCUUUAUGUUGGAGAAAUUAGGGUGCAGGGGCAUAGAUGACGGAAAAUGUUGCCACCUUGCCCUUUGGCCAUCACAAGAGAGAAAGGAGGGGACACAGUUCUGAGAACAGGGGAAUCCAUUCCGAUUCAGAGCUUCAGGAGCCAGUCUGGUGUACAGAGACUGAAAAAGGGCAGCCACAUUGGAGUCCCUACCAGAACUGAGUCCUGAGAGAGGGUUCAGUGAAGAGCCACUGUGGCUCCUUUAGGGACUGGCAUCUUGAGGGCUCCUCACAGAGAAGAAGCAUUUUUUUAAUCUUGGCGGCGCCCACGGUAUGUGGAUAUCCCAAGCCAAGGAUCGCAUCCGCGCCACUGCAGAGACAACGCUGGAUCCCCCGCGCUGCGCCAGCAAGGGAGUUCCUGGAGUAAGCACUUUAAGGUUUUGCUGGAGCCCCUGAGCAUCAUGCUCCAGGCCACCGAACACAAGCUUUGUUUCAUUUCCUCUUUUACCGCAUGGUGUGCCCACUAGUUUUCUGCAAAGGGGGAAGAAGGAAGAGUGACUCUUGACUUUCAAAUAGGACUCCUCUGGGAUCAUUACAUUUUCCCCUAAGGUAACUUUAGUGCAAGUGUCUACAAUUUCAUAUAGAACUGUUGAAUAUUUUAAUAGUCUCCUGGGGAAAUGUUUCAGGCUACUCACUAUAGAUUUCUAGCUGAAGAAAUGUUUCAUUUUUUUGCUAGCUGAACACCAGUAUUGAUUUCUCAGAGCAUUUAUAGAUUUAUUAGGAAUAUGAGUGUGUAAACUAGUCAAAUGGGUAUAGUCCACAUGGCUUAGAGUGUUAUACAUUCAAACAAUAAGGGAGUGUGUGAGCCCCACCAUGUGUCAGGCAUUGCUCUGGGCAUGGAAGAUAGAUUGGUAUAGAACAAAAUACAGCCUCUCCUUCAGUGGGGAGCCUGUGUGGCUGGAGAAAAUCACAGGACUCAAUAAGAGCAGAAAGGAGGAAGGGAUGAGCCAGUCUUGGUUGCCAUCACUGAUUUUGAGAGACACAGACAGAAGCCAACAACCAAACAUAGAACUAGCCCAGGAAGUCAAUCAUUCACGUGGGAGGCAGAGCUAUUCUAAAGUUAAGUGUGUCAAGCGCUGGAUUUGAGUCUCAGUUCCCUCAGCUGUGUGAUCCUGGCACUUGGGCCUCAGCUUCCUUACCUGUGAAUUGGAGAGAAUGUGCCCCUCCUCCAGGGAGGUAGUAAUUAGAUAAUUGCAAUGCUGAGCAGAAUUGCUCCAUAAAUGGGACUUUGUUGUAAAAAUGAUAAUGAGUCAAUAUUUUGUAGACCGAUCAGAUCAUCAAUGCAAUUUUGUUUGUUCAAAUCAAGAGUUGAUCCAUUUAAUAAAGAGUUUUGGGUCUGGACCAGCUUAGAUUCACCAUAUUUCUCUAACUCUCUGGAUCUCAACUUUGGCUGCAUAUUAGAAUCACUUGGGAAGUUUUAAAACUAAUGAUGUUCAGACUCCAACCCCAGAGAGUCUGAUGCAGCUGAUCUGGAGUGUUCCUUGGGGCUUCAGGAUUUUCAGUCAUGAAUUAGUGUGAACCCAGUGUUGGGACCCACUGGUCUAACUAAAUAUGAAGAGUGAGCAGAUCUUGGGUCACAGGCAACCAGGGCAGUUGUUGAUGAUUUUCUCCUUAUAUAUCCACAUUCUGAGCUAGAAGUUGUCUUGGAUACAAAGAGUAGGAGAGGGAGUCACCUCCACGAAUUGGCACCAAAAACUUACUGUGGCACUAGAAUCCUAACCCCAUGAGGCUUUAGUGAGUCCAUACAGUACCAGGGCAUGUUCCUCGCCCAGCAGCUCUGGGAUCCCUGGAACACCUGGAAUUAGAAAGAUGGAUUCCAGGGGCAGUUCCAACAUAGCCCAGCCAAGGGAGUAUGGCCGAGUCAGCAUGACUGUCCCAUCUAGGCUUGGUUAUCUGUGUGUGUGUUUAUAGAGAUGAAAAUGUUCUUCCUACAAACCCCACAGAGCUGUUUCUAGGUCACUGAAAUUAUGUCUGUAAAACACUUUGUAAACCAUAAAAUACUAUAUGAAGAAAAUCAAAUACCCAGUAGAGAUUAGAUGUUGCUUUUUUUUUUUUUUUGACUGUUAAAAAAACAAACAAAUAAACUGGAGUUCCAGCUGUGGCAC
rnacentral:lncRNA from 1 species